AUGGCAGGGAAACAAGAGUGGAUGGAAAAGGAGAUGAAGCUGUCAGAGAAAGAGGAGAAUUUGAAAUGGGCUGAAGAAGAAAUUGAGAACUAUGUGAGAAGACUGCAAGAAAUGCAGGCUCAGCAGCAGCGAGAAAAGGAGACCUUCAGACAGGAGAUUGCUGUUCAUAAACAAAAGGCUCAUGAUAUUGAGCUCAGGGCUCAAGCUCUGGAGCGGGAGUUGAUGGUGCAGAAGAGGGAGACUGCCCACUUGCAACACAGAUUGGAAAUAAUGCAGGCAGAGGAAUCCAGGAGGCAGAAGCCAGUGUCAGGGGGACCUGGCUGGGAGAACCCUCCACGGAGAGAUUCCAGAAGUUGUGCAGGUCACAUGAAGAACCAAGGCUCAUCCCCUGCUGAGGACACCAGGAAGGAACAGGUAAUUGCUGUGGUCGUUUUCCUUGUAAUGAUUUCCUGAAACCUGAUCAUUGCAUAUACAGCACUCUCUCUUCCAUUAUUUUCUGACUGUGUGUGCUGUGAUACCUUUUCUGUGUCUGUAACUUUUCAAAGCAGCCAAGCCUUCCCCCACGAGCCUGUGGGCCUCUCCUUUUCCAGCUCAGCAUCUGUGCUGGUGCUUUACAGGCCGAAGCCUGAAGGUUUGCUUGUCAGUUCCUGGAAAUCACUGGCAGAGAAGAUGGCUGUGACCUUCAGCCUCAUGGCAUAGUGACUCCCCCCAAGCUUCUACAACCUGGGAGGUGGCCAGGCCACAUUUCAUUGUCGGAAUAAAAUACCUCCUUUCCUGUUUUGAUUUAGGUUG
rnacentral:lncRNA from 1 species